AAUAUCUUUAAGCUAAAAAGCAACGCUUAAUUGGAACAGAUGCUGCAAAUUCCAGUGCAAAAGGCCAGCUCCUAUGUGAUCUAAACCAGACGUGUGGUCGAGGUCUUGAAUCUUCUUGGAUCAGACAGCCGAGAGUCGUGCCCUAGAGGACCCAACCCAGGACCCCACGUGGUCUCGCUGUUGCGCCUUCUCGGUCUCCUUCGGUCCAUGGCAGCUCAUCUCUUCCCUCGUCAUUCAUGGACCUGGACACUUUCGAAGAGUACAGGUUUGGCAUUUUGAAGAAUGUCCAUAAACUUGGGUUUGCUUUGUCUUCUCAUGAUCACAUUGAGGUUGUGGAUUCGGGAGGAAGAAUGCCGCAGAGACGACGUGCCCUUCUCAGUGCAUCGUACCGGGGAGCAUGUGACGUUACUACGUCUUUCCACAGGGGAUGCUAACCUUGGUCUUUCAGUUAAGGUGGUCUCUGUCGGGUUUUACACCAUAAAGUUACUGUUUUCCAUUUGUAAUUAAUAAAUAUUUGAGAGGAAAUACUUCAAGGCUGUACAAAUAUCUGGUUUAUCCUUAAACUUUUACCCACUAAUUUUAGCUUCCAUCAGUAGAGCUCGCCUACAGCAAUUAUUUCUAUGAUUUUCUAAUGAUGAUUUUUAAAUUUCCUUCCAUUCAUUUUACGUUUAUUAAUUGAAAUGUUUCUGUAAGGAAGAGUUGCCCAUUCACCCACAUUUGUUUAUUUAUUGAAUCAUUUGCUUAUGAACUCGUGGGUAUUUUUCCCUCUGAGUUUUAAUCUAAUACUAUUAUUUAUUAUAUUACUCAAAUUGUUACAACUCUGGCCACUGAGAGCUCUUUCUGAUUGGUUCCUGUGUUCUUUAGACACA